rnacentral:misc_RNA from 1 species
UUUUAGCCCCGAUCGUAGCAUUUGUUUGAGCUCAUUUUCUUUUUUAAAGAAAAUAGCGAGUGCGGAGAGCGGGAAUAAGC